rnacentral:lncRNA from 1 species
CGGGCUAUAUUUUAUACAGGAGGCGUCAGACAGAACAGUUUGUUAACAAGGGAACCAUCAAGCUUGAUAAUAAAUUUGUUGUUCCCCACAAUCUACAGAUCCUGAAAAAAUACAAAGCCCAUGUCAAUGUUGAAUGGUGCAACAAAUCAAGUGCCAUCAAAUACCUGUUCAAGUACAUUACAAAGGGCGUUGAUAGAGCAUGCUUCAAGCUCCAGAAAACCGGGGAUCAGUCUUCUCAGUCGGAGUCCACAAAAAAAGAAACGCCAAAGAAUGAGAUAAACGAUUACGUCGAAGGUAGAUAC